AGACUUGGAAGAUGUUCAAGAAGUAAAUUUGCUGGAAAGCAUCCUUGAGGAAGAGACUUAUUUGAAAAUAAAUUUGAGACUAAAUGGAGGCCAAAAAUUGAGCAGCUCCCACCAUUGACAGCAAGUUUAAAGCCUUCAGCAAAUGAAAUCCCAACACUAGAGCUAAAGCCAUUGCCGAAUGACUUGAAAUAUGUAUUUCUGGGUCCGGACAGCACCUUCCCAGUUGUGAUUUCAACCAAACUCACUCAUGACCAAGAAGGGAGACUAAUGGAAGUCUUGAGGCAGCACAAAUGUACUAUUGGAUGGACAAUCGCGGAUAUAAAAAGACAAACUCCGCCCAAUUGGAGUGCUCAAGACAUACGAAAAUUCAAGUAUGAGGGGAGAUGAUGGAUAUGUAUUCAUUCAAGAAAAGUGGAAAAUGGUUGAGCUCAAACUGGUGUAGAAUUGCAUCCAUUAAUUCAGCCCACAAGGAAUGAAGAAGAACCACUAAUAUAGUGGAGUUUAAAAUGUGAAGGCCUUUAAACGCAGACCUUGUGAGACACUGCAACUUGUUUAAUAUUUGAUUUGGUUGUGUACGUUGGAGAUAUGAGCACCAUGAUGUGGAUGAUGGCAUUCCCUGUUUCAAAAUUAGAAGCGUUAUGUAUGUAUUUGUUUUGCAUCGACAGUGAGCUUUGAAUUGUAUAACCAAGACUUGGUUUUGUAUAUGUAUGGUAUGGUAGGUGUAACAAUACAAUAGUAAAUUCUUAACUGAUAGUUG